UCCGUGUGCUUUUUUUAUUCCCUUUCUCUGCCUUCUAAUGUAACAUCAGAGAAAGGUGUGGAGUUCUGCUCCACAGAAACAGAAGAAUCAAGUAUAGUGUGGAGUCUUCUGGAGAGGUUACUGGAGCAAGAGUGAAGAGAUCAUAGGGUCAUUGAAGAGCUCCUUUAAGAAGAAGAAAAAGAUCUUUGUUGAACCAUGUCAGUCCAAGGUGGCUGAUGUUACAUCAGGAUCAUAACUGUUUUGAUUUAAUCUACAUUUCAGCAGUCAUUCUUCAUUGAACCAGAAGGUAAC
rnacentral:lncRNA from 1 species